rnacentral:misc_RNA from 1 species
AACGCACAUUGCGCCCCUUGGUAUUCCGAGGGGCAUGCCUAUUCGAGCGUCAUUAUCACCCCUCAAGCUCCGGCUUGGUGUUGAGGCCUGCUGUAAAGGCACCCUCUAAAAUCAGUGGCAGUGCUGUCAGGCUCUAAGCGUAGUAAUUUCUCUCGCUACAGGGUCCCGGUAGACACUCGCCAGAACCCCCCCAUUUUUUAAUGAUUGACCUCGGAUUAGGUAGGGAUACCCGCUGAACUUAA